AAAAGUAGCUAAAAGUCACUAUGUCCCUGCGUAGAGAAAUUUGCGUAGGUAUCUUCUCGAAAUUGCGGGAAAGCCUUAAAAUCAUAUCUCCCUGGUAGUAACUAUAGGGUGUGAAAACAGAAACAAAGAUAUGAAUGGUCUAUGGUUAAAUCCUAAGGGCUGUGUUUAAUGGGUAACCUCGCAGCGAAGGAAACGUCGAGAUGACGCGUCCACGUUCAACGACUAUCGGGUCGCGCCGAGUAGCAAGUAGCACUUGCGAAGUGAGAAGCCCUUAACAGGUCAUGCUGAAGGUGAAGAUAUAGUCUGCUCCUACGAUGAAUUGACAUCGU
rnacentral:ncRNA from 1 species